CCGGCGGAGUCCCGCCCGCCACAGCCCCAUGAGGGUGACUCGGCACUUUCUUGUGCCCGGUCGUCUUUGGGCCCAGAAAAGUACCUGUGGCUUCUCUGCCAGGGCUGGCCUGGAGACGAGGUACCCUCAUGACCGCUCUCUCCUUGAUCAGGGAUCUCCGCGGGGAACCGAACCCGCAUUCCCUUUACUUCCCAGACCCGGACCGUGCAAGGGCACUACCCAAACCAGGGUAAAGGUCCUCGCUGCUGCCCACGGAAGACCACGUCUAGCCAUCCCAACUUCUGAGAACUGUCUACCCAAGUACUUCUCAGCAGAAGGAUUAUGAGUUGGAGAAUAACCUGGACCAAGCAAGACCUCACCUCAAAAAGAAAGAAAGAAACAAAAAGAGUGACUCAUUGGUAAAGUGCUUGCCUGGCAGGUGUGAGGCCCUGAAUUUAAUCCCCAGUUCUGAAAAAAAAAGAAAGGGAGAGAAGAGUGGGGGAGGGGGGAGAAGAAUACAACUUUUUUGAAAAGAGAGGGAAUCUGCUGAGCUCUCAUCUAUAUAAAUGAUUGUGGAGUUUCCCCAGAGAUCAGUGAAGAUUUCAGAACUGUUUGGGAAGAGGCUUUCUCAAAGGGCCUGCUAAGUACCUCUAGCUCUAUUUCAACACCUAUGCUAUUGUCUUCUCCUCACUUGUUGACAAUGAUCUUGAAAAAUUCUUUCUGUUUUAUUUAUCUUUGUCGUGUCAAAUGUAUUGCUGUAACUGGCUUAAGAGUGCUUAAUAAAUUAAGGAUAUAUUGAA